rnacentral:lncRNA from 1 species
CCACAUCUUAGAUUCAGAACAAGUCAAAUGGAACAUUGCUAGUAAGUGAUAUUAUACUUAGAACAUGAAAUUAAUGAUCAUACUAAGAGAAAUACACCAAAAUUUGAUGGUUGGUAUUAAAUGUGGUUUAGAUAGAAAGAUUCUAGAAUCUAAUCUUUAGCUUGUAAAAAGCGCUAAACAAAGAGCGAUCGAUCACAAAAGUAUGUGUUAGAAGCAUUUUUAGUGGAUGGGAAGAUUGCGGAGGAUAAUCGAGAGGUUUGGAAGGAUUCAUGAUGAUACAAGAAGCUCGGAACAUGAUUUUGGGAUGUUGGGUCGAAGUUAUCUAAUGUUAGACUAGAAACUUAUUUAGCCUAUCCAGUUGUGCGGUGUGCCGAUGAUUUGUUUAUACAGAAAUAAGAGAUUAAACGAUGUGGUUAUUUGGAACACGAGACAUUGAAUUGAUAACGACCGAUUAGUGAAUUUCAACUAACCUUU